rnacentral:rRNA from 1 species
CCUACGGGAGGCAGCAGUGGGGAAUUUUGGACAAUGGGCGCAAGCCUGAUCCAGCAAUGCCGCGUGAGUGAAGAAGGCCUUCGGGUUGUAAAGCUCUUUUGUCAGGGAAGAAACGGUGGAGGUUAAUACCUUCUGCUAAUGACGGUACCUGAAGAAUAAGCACCGGCUAACUACGCGCCAGCAGCCGCGGUAAUACGUAGGGUGCAAGCGUUAAUCGGAAUUACUGGGCGUAAAGCGUGCGCAGGCGGUUGUGCAAGACAGAUGUGAAAUCCCCGGGCUCAACCUGGGAAUUGCAUUUGUGACUGUACGGCUAGAGUGUGUCAGAGGGGGGUAGAAUUCCACGUGUAGCAGUGAAAUGCGUAGAGAUGUGGAGGAAUACCGAUGGCGAAGGCAGCCCCCUGGGAUAACACUGACGCUCAUGCACGAAAGCGUGGGGAGCAAACAGGAUUAGAUACCCUGGUAGUCCACGCCCUAAACGAUGUCUACUAGUUGUCGGGUCUUUAUUGACUUGGUAACGCNGNUACGCGNGAGUAGACCGCCGUCGGGAGGUACGGUCGCGAGAGUAAACGUAACGAAAGAAAGUUAGUACGCGUGAGACGUAGACCGACGGACGACGACGAGGGGAGGAGG